UACGAAGGGUGCAAACGUUGCUCGGAAUCAUUGGGCGUAAAGCGCACGUAGGCGGCUUUGCAAGUCGGACGUGAAAUCCCUCAGCUCAACUGAGGAAGUGCAUCCGAAACUGCAAGGCUUGAGUACUGAAGAGGAUCGCGGAAUUCCCGGUGUAGAGGUGAAAUUCGUAGAUAUCGGGAGGAACACCAGUGGCGAAGGCGGCGAUCUGGGCAGAUACUGACGCUGAGGUGCGAAAGCGUGGGGAGCAAACAGG
rnacentral:rRNA from 1 species